rnacentral:rRNA from 1 species
AGAAGUAGGUAGCUUAACCUUUGGGAGGGCGCUUACCACUUUGUGAUUCAUGACUGGGGUGAAGUCGUAACAAGGUAACCGUAGGGGAACCUGCGGUUGGAUCACCUCCUUACCUUAAAGAAGC